CAGUAUUAGGCCCUUCUUCCAAUACGGUUGCUAGUGGUCUUUACUUCCUUAACAGAAUCUUUCAUUUUAUUAAUUUAAAGUGUUUGGGGCCUGUUUCUUUUACUUUGAGAAAAUUAGAGUGUUCAAAGCGGGUUUUCGCCUGGAUAUUACUCUUGGAAUAAUAAUAUAGGACUUUGGUUCUUUUUUGUUGGUGACUUAGAACCGAAGUAAUGAUUGAUAGGGACAGUUGGGGUCAUUCGUACUAUGAAGCGAGAGGUGAAAUUCAUGGACCUUUGUAUGACGAACUACUGCGAAAGCAUUUGACUAGGAUGUUCCCGUUGAUCAAGAACGAAAGUUGGGGGAUCGAAGACGAUCAGAUACCGUCGUAGUCUCAACCAUAAACUAUGCCAGCUAGGGAUUGGAGGAAGAUCAUUUUACGUCUCCUUCAGCACCUUAUGAGAAAUCAAAGCAUUUGGGUUCCGGGGGGAGUAUGGUCGCAAGGCUGAAACUUAAAGGAAUUGACGGGAGGGCACCACCAGGAGUGGAGCCUGCGGCUUAAUUUGAUUCAACACGGGAAAACUUACCAGGUCCGGACAUGGGAAGGAUUGACAGAUUGAAAGCUCUUUCUUGAUUCUAUGGGUGGUGGUGCAUGGCCGUUCUUANUUGGUGGAGUGANNUGUCUGGUUAAUUCCGUUAACNAACGAGACCUCANCCUGCUANNUAGUUAAAUCNUGGUUUUAUAAGAUUUUAACUUCUUAGAGGGACUACGUGACCUACAAGCGCGAGGAAGCUUGANGCAAUAACANGUCUGUGAUGCCCUUAGAUGUUCUGGGCCGCACGCGGGCUACACUGGUGUUUUCACAAGCCUUAUUCCCUUGACCGAAA
rnacentral:rRNA from 1 species